UAGUGAUUGUAUUCAUUGAUGAUUAAUAUACAAGAGAGUACAAAGGCUGCUAAGAUAGAAGCUGUUGGCUCUAUCUUAGCUUUCAGUCACACAAGCUUUAGCUGGUUGUUAUACAGAAAUACGCACGUGGUACAGAGAUUGGAUAAAUACAAGUUAUAGAUUGGAUGACAAUCCAAUCCUUAUCUAGAAGUUCCACAACGGUUGAGUUUUCACUUUCUAGCAUGAGUUGGGGAAUCCCUUCAUUCCAAGCUAGAAGAAUACCUUCACAAGCAGCCUAUAGCUCAGAUCCCAGCACAGAAAUUUCCCUAUAAUGCAACGAAGCCCCUCACCCAUUUGCCAUUGUUAUCUCGAAUUAUACCUCCCCCAUUAGCCUUGUAUAUAUGUACCAACAAUUCAACUUAAACCAUUCAACUGGCGGGAGUGUCUACGCAAUCCAAUCCUCCCCGUGACCAGCGUAGCCAUCACCUUCACUGAGCUUUUCCUGCACAGAAACAUGCACUCUGGUUUUCGUACACAUCAUGGAUGGAAGAAUGGACAAAAGAGUCCAAUCAUCCCAGAAAAUACAAUUGUUUCAUCGAUUCCACAAGCUCCAGCAUGCUGUGCCAAAAAGCGUUCGCCAAGGCAAUCUAUGAACCCCAUGCCCCUUUGAUUUGCAGGAAGCUUUCAUUCAUCAAAAGAUUUUAUGCUCAGCAAACCUAGACAAAGGGAAGGGAAAAGAAGAGACAUCCGGCGUGACUUCAAAACCAUCAAAGGAUCUUAUGCUUAGCAAACCAUGACAAGGGAAAGAAUGACUGCUAUAAGAUAGUUAAUCUUAUAUAUUAUGCCAAUGUCAAUUACUAUAUAAUUUUCUUUAUAUCUUGAUACAAAAUUCUUCUGCAUCAUGUAGCAUGAAUUUGAGCAAAUGUUUUCACAGAAAAUCUUGUCUCUC